rnacentral:rRNA from 1 species
UCCAACAGCCAUAUCACCCUGCAACUCACAACUGGCAACCCACUGAAGCUAAGCAGGUGUGAGCUGGGUCAGUACCUGGAUGCGAGACCUCCAGGGAAAAAUGUAGGUUGCUGCUGGAA